CUGGAGGUAUCAGAAGUGCGAAUGCUGACAUAAGUAACGAUAAAGCGGGUGAAAAGCCCGCUCGCCGGAAGACCAAGGGUUCCUGUCCAACGUUAAUCGGGGCAGGGUGAGUCGACCCCUAAGGCGAGGCCGAAAGGCGUAGUCGAUGGGAAACAGGUUAAUAUUCCUGUACUUGGUGUUACUGCGAAGGGGGGACGGAGAAGGCUAUGUUGGCCGGGCGACGGUUGUCCCGGUUUAAGCGUGUAGGCUGGUUUUCCAGGCAAAUCCGGAAAAUCAAGGCUGAGGCGUGAUGACGAGGCACUACGGUGCUGAAGCAACAAAUGCCCUGCUUCCAGGAAAAGCCUCUAAGCAUCAGGUAACAUCAAAUCGUACCCCAAACCGACACAGGUGGUCAGGUAGAGAAUACCAAGGCGCUUGAGAGAACUCGGGUGAAGGAACUAGGCAAAAUGGUGCCGUAACUUCGGGAGAAGGCACGCUGAUAUGUAGGUGAAGUCCCUCGCGGAUGGAGCUGAAAUCAGUCGAAGAUACCAGCUGGCUGCAACUGUUUAUUAAAAACACAGCACUGUGCAAACACGAAAGUGGACGUAUACGGUGUGACGCCUGCCCGGUGCCGGAAGGUUAAUUGAUGGGGUCAGCGCAAGCGAAGCUCUUGAUCGAAGCCCCGGUAAACGGCGGCCGUAACUAUAACGGUCCUAAGGUAGCGAAAUUCCUUGUCGGGUAAGUUCCGACCUGCACGAAUGGCGUAAUGAUGGCCAGGCUGUCUCCACCCGAGACUCAGUGAAAUUGAACUCGCUGUGAAGAUGCAGUGUACCCGCGGCAAGACGGAAAGACCCCGUGAACCUUUACUAUAGCUUGACACUGAACAUUGAGCCUUGAUGUGUAGGAUAGGUGGGAGGCUUUGAAGUGUGGACGCCAGUCUGCAUGGAGCCGGCCUUGAAAUACCACCCUUUAAUGUUUGAUGUUCUAACGUUGACCCGUGAUCCGGGUUGCGGACAGUGUCUGGUGGGUAGUUUGACUGGGGCGGUCUCCUCCUAAAGAGUAACGGAGGAGCACGAAGGUUGGCUAAUCCUGGUCGGACAUCAGGAGGUUAGUGCAAUGGCAUAAGCCAGCUUGACUGCGAGCGUGACGGCGCGAGCAGGUGCGAAAGCAGGUCAUAGUGAUCCGGUGGUUCUGAAUGGAAGGGCCAUCGCUCAACGGAUAAAAGGUACUCCGGGGAUAACAGGCUGAUACCGCCCAAGAGUUCAUAUCGACGGCGGUGUUUGGCACCUCGAUGUCGGCUCAUCACAUCCUGGGGCUGAAGUAGGUCCCAAGGGUAUGGCUGUUCGCCAUUUAAAGUGGUACGCGAGCUGGGUUUAGAACGUCGUGAGACAGUUCGGUCCCUAUCUGCCGUGGGCGCUGGAGAACUGAGGGGGGCUGCUCCUAGUACGAGAGGACCGGAG
rnacentral:rRNA from 1 species